rnacentral:lncRNA from 1 species
AGUCUGGUGCUCUUUCUUCAAGGGCAUGUUUUCUCAGACAGACAGCUCUCUACUCUGAGAGAUCUUAUAAGCCCACUUUCCAAUGACUGCUCUCUGGAUGAGAAUUUUCCAAAAUGCAAAUUACCUUGUGAGUUAAUUUUAUUAUAUGAAUAAAUACUUAUAUUUCAAGACCUUACAUUAGUUUUUUCCUAUGAGUCAAUAAUUUUACCAUGAUAUUUAACAUAAACCUAACAUCUUAUCACUUUUCUUCUCAUUUAUCAAAUUAAUUCCAGUGAGACUUAAGUUUUUAAAUAUACUGAACAGACGUUUGCUACAGCAUGCUGCUAUGGAAUAGGUAUGUGGUCUUCAGAGUCUUUGUUAUCACUGAAAUAAUCCACACUAGAAACACAAAAACAUGAAAACUGUUUUAUGUGACUAAUCCACCACAUUCCCUAGAGGCUGCUGUUCUUAUUUCAUCACAAACACAAAGUUAUUGAUAUGGAAUUCAUUUCUUC